UUUCUGCAUAGAUUUCAAUUAUUUGCGUCUACAAAUCGAACAAAGGAAAAUACGAUAUAUUUAUUUAUCUACACCAUGGAAUAAAGGUUGCAGCUGUCCAAACAAAACUUGGUUUGCAUGAUUCCCAUUACGGCGCCGAGCUAUAAACACCGGAAUGGAACUAACAAUUGGCCAAUUUUAAUGAUCGGACGCCAUAGCCACUGUAUAUCUCACCUUCCACCUGCGGGCAACCCAUCUCGAAUUUAUAUAGAAAAUCCACUUAGCAACGUGAUUGCAUUAAGUAAUUAAUGGGUGGUGCCAUAUUCGAGAGUUAGAAGCAUACAUACAUAUAGAGAAGUAGAAGAAGAUAUAGAUGAACAAAUUGCCAUUGGGUCACAAAAUGUUUCGAUACAAGAAAUGAAUAUUCAAGCAACUCUUCUACAAUCGUCACUCGCUCUGCCAAAAACUUUCUUAAACUUUGCGUGAAAUCGUGCCUAAUUAAAAAUUGAAAUUAAUAUUUAAAAAAAAAGUGGAAGCAAACAGGCGGAGGCUUGGUAGAUAAAGAGCAUCGGAAUCGAAACGGAAAUAGACAUUCAACAGGAAAUUAUUGGACUGAGAACAAAUAAAAAAAAAAAUUCGUCAACGUGAUUGCCACUUAAUCCGCUCAAUAAACAGACGAGUGAUAAAAAAAAUUAACGCUUUUCUGACUGGUUGCUCUGACGUCUGGCCAUGAGCAGAAUUGACUCGAAAUUAAUGGGAAAUGUACGCAAAAUGCGGCUCUGAUUAGAGAAUAAAUCAUGGAAAACGUCAGAAGAAGAGGGCAAACAAAAGGCAAAGACGGCUCAAAAUGCCCAGCGUCAUUGACAUUGGCCGACAAGGGGUUAAGAGCAGGCAUAAUUGCAAAUGAGUAAUGGUUAAAAGCAACGUUUGCCAAUUGAAUUCUAUCGAUUUCUUUUCCGAAGAAAACGCCGAAGAAAGAGAGGUCUAGUGCCGCGUAGAAAGAGACGAAUUGCAGCUACCAUUUCUUGGGCUCUUUAAGGCUACACUGGAAAACAAACAGCAGAUGUUCCUGUCUGUGGCACAGAAUUCAACUCAUAUAGAAAACUUGGAAUAC